rnacentral:rRNA from 1 species
UACAGAGGUCCCAAGCGUUGUUCGGAUUCAUUGGGCGUAAAGGGUGCGUAGGUGGCGCGCUAAGUCAGGUGUGAAAUUUCGGAGCUUAACUCCGAAACUGCAUUUGAUACUGGCGUGCUUGAGGACUGGAGAGGAGACUGGAAUUCACGGUGUAGCAGUGAAAUGCGUAGAUAUCGUGAGGAAGACCAGUGGCGAAGGCGGGUCUCUGGACAGUUCCUGACACUGAGGCACGAAGGCCAGGGGAGCAAACGGG